CAGUAGCCACGGGAACACGGAGGGAGCUAGCGUUGCUCGGAAUUACUGGGCGUAAAGCGCACGUAGGCGGUUAUUCAAGUCAGAGGUGAAAGCCCGGGGCUCAACCCCGGAACUGCCUUUGAAACUAGAUGACUAGAAUCUUGGAGAGGUCAGUGGAAUUCCGAGUGUAGAGGUGAAAUUCGUAGAUAUUCGGAAGAACACCAGUGGCGAAGGCGACUGACUGGACAAGUAUUGACGCUGAGGUGCGAAAGCGUGGGGAGCGAACAGGAUUAGAUACCCCGGUAGUCCCUGUCUCUUAUAA
rnacentral:rRNA from 1 species